rnacentral:rRNA from 1 species
AACGAACGCUGGCGGCAUGCCUAACACAUGCAAGUCGAACGCUACCUUCUGGUCUAGUUGCGCACGGGUGCGUAACGCGUGGGAACCUUCCCUUAGGUUCGGAAUAACUUUCCGCAAGGGGUGCUAAUACCGGAUAAUUUCUUCGGACCAAAGAUUUAUUUCCUUGGGAUUGGCCCGCGUUGGAUUAGCUAGUUGGUAAGGUAAAAGCCUACCAAGGCGACGAUCCAUAGCUGGUCUGAGAGGAUGAUCAGCAACACUGGGACUGUGACACGGCCCAGACUCCUACGGGAGGAAGCAGUGGGGAAUAUGGGACAAUGGGCGAAAGACGGAGCCAGCAAUGCCGCGUGAGUGAUGAAGGACUUAGGGUUGUAAAGCUCUGUUACCAGGGAUGAUAAUGACAGUACCGGGAGAAUAAGCGCCGGCUAACUCCGUG